UUGUUAUUGAGCACCGCCCCCUUUCUUUGCAGCUGAUCAGCUGAAUUCAUUGUUGACGCGCUGGAAUAGCAAAUCACUGCAAGCCGCAAACAUCUUGCUAAUUUUUCUAUCCGAGCCUUGGAAAAUGUUUAGAUUUCUGCUAACGUUCGGGGCAGGAGUCUACGCUGGAGUAUAUAUUAGUCAAAACUACGAGAUUCCAAGAGUUGACGAACCAUCAAAGUUGUGGGAAAAAGUUAAAGGUUGGGCAGAUCAGCAUAAAAAGGAUAAAUAGAUAAGCAAGCAAUUCAAGAUGCCAGAAGAAGAUUGCACAUUGCACUUGUUAGGAAACAAAGAAGCGAACUGAAGAUAAAUUAUUUUAAAUAUUAAAAUGCCAUUAAAUUUUGUUAACUUUAAAGCACUUGUAUGCAACCGUCGCAAUAAUUAUGAUAAUUAAAAAACGUACUUGCUAACAAAGUUGUAA